UACGUAGGUGGCAAGCGUUGUUCGGAAUUAUUGGGCGUAAAGGGCGCGUAGGCGGUUUGUUAAGUCGGCUGUGAAAGCCCGGGGCUCAACCCCGGAGGGUCAGCCGAUACUGGCAGACUAGAGUACGGAAGAGGUAGCUGGAAUUCCCGGUGUAGCGGUGAAAUGCGUAGAUAUUCGGAAGAACACCGGUGGCGAAGGCGACCUUCUGGGCCGCAACUGACGCUGAGGCACGAAAGCCUGGGAGCAAACAGG
rnacentral:rRNA from 1 species